rnacentral:rRNA from 1 species
UACGUAGGUGGCAAGCGUUUGUCCGGAUUUACUGGGCGUAAAGAGCGCGCAGGCGGUCGUUCAAGUCGCGUGUGAAAGCCCCCGGCUCAACUGGGGAGGGUCACGCGAUACUGAUCGACUCGAAGGCAGGAGAGGGUAGUGGAAUUCCCGGUGUAGUGGUGAAAUGCGUAGAUAUCGGGAGGAACACCAGUGGCGAAGGCGGCCGGCUGGGCCGGAUCCGACGCUGAGGCGCGAAAGCGUGGGGAGCAAACAGG